rnacentral:lncRNA from 1 species
AUUUUCAAUAAAAAUGAAAAGCACUGGUCACCGCAAUCUGUCAAAAAGCUCUUCAGUGAAACCCAUUAAUAAUGACCUUUCAAUUUGCUCUUCUCUAAACUAAAUAAUAUAAAUCAUUUUUACUCUUCUUGGAAUUCUCAUUUUCACCCUUCAGUUAUUUUUCUCCUUCUAUCCUGAACUCUCUUCAUUCUUCUUAAGUUCUGAGAUAUCAUACUAGCCAUGGUAGGAUCCCACCACUGGUGAAUGUAAUAGGAGGGUUACCUUGCUGUUCUCAUUUACUAUACUCCUAUUUAUGCCUUAUAUAGAACUCCGAGAGGCGCAGAUAGGAUUUAAACGGUGUACUGAUUGAUGCUCAUGGUCCUGAAUAACUUCAUAACAGUUUUCAUAGCAAUACAAACGUUAUUCCCAUAAACCUGGGUAGGUAAUGACUUUCUUGCCUCUCUGUAGCAUUUUAAGUUUCAAGUAGAUGAAUUACUCUUCACUUUCACUCCUAAAGCCAUUAUUACAAAAAGGUGUUUGAGCAGAACAGAACAACUCUGCAUUUUAACAGAGGAAGAAAGGACCACUUUAUAUACAGCCUGUAAAGAGUCUAGUGUCCCUUUUGGGUAUGAAAUACAGUGAUACAGAGUCCUGCUUUCCCAGCCUAGUGUGCACAAUCCAACAUGUUCUUUAUAUUUUCUUUGAUUUUCUUACCUUGCUUAGCUGUCCUAAAUCCUAACAAAAUCUACCUUGAUAGUAACAUUUAUUCACCAAUUCUAGCGAAUUUUUAAGUAAAAAAGGUUUAAACAAGAACAUGAAAUUGACAAAGCUCUAAGUCAGAUUUACACUUGUUUCAUCAAUUUAACUAAAAAUGCAGAGGAAUUUUUAGUUUUGCUUGUUUUUUGUUAUCUUUUUUCAUAUUGGAAAUAACCAGUAAAAUAAUUCAUUGUUCUAUAAUAAUAUAUUGAAUACUUAUCAGUUUAUCUGUUGUCAGAGAAAGUCUAAAACAGAUUAGCAUAGUCUGGGUUUCUAUGUGUUCUCUUUCUUAUUUUCUAUUGAAAUAGAUUUCUUCUGAUUUUUUUUUUUUUUUUUUUUUUUAGGGCCACACUUGUGGCAUAUGGAAGUUCCCAGGCUAGGGGUUGAAUCUAGAGCUGCAGCUGCCAGCCUAUGCCACAGCCACAGCCACAGCAACACGGGAUCCAAGCUGUGUCUGCAACUUACACCACAGCUCAUGGCAACAUCAGAUCCUUAAUCCACUGAGUGAGGCCAGUGCAUCCUUGUGGACACUAGUCGGGUUUGUAACCCACUGAACCACAAUGGGAACUCCUUGAAUUUUAUUCUUUAAAAAAAAAAAAGUCUUCAGUGUUAUCUCCUUUAUUUAAACUCCAGGGCUUUUCUUUUUGCAUUUUCUCUCACCCAAUUCUGAAAUUCCAGCUUUUUGUUUCAAAUCACUUGGCUCUUCGUGCAGUACAGAGACUCUUAGAUGUAGAAGACCAGAGUACCUGUGCAGCCAGUCUUUAUUGUGCAGAAGGGUGACCUCAUCCUUCUGCAUAUCCUUAUCUCAUUUCUCAACUUUUUACACUCCUUCCUACUAAGCUUCAUUCUUUCCACUCUCAAGUGGGCUUAUAGGAAUUUAGGGAAGUUUUACAAAGGCAUUGGAUGUUUGAGCUAUAUCUUCAAAACACAGAUGUCAUCUUGCCAUACCCGGCUUUUAAUGUAAACUAUUGCUUGAUGUAUAAAAUCUAUACUCUAUAGCAUGAACUAUAUACUUUGAUACCAUGUUUUGCCAAUAUAUCCCCAUUUUCAAUUUCUCUGCCUUCUUCCACAUACACCCCCAAUCUGCUAUUUUUUCAGUCUAUAUCUGUUGCCUACCUUUUUCUCUUAAAUGUAUUCUGGCAUGAAUGAAAAAUUAUAUAAUAAUCACUCUGUUAAGGUGCAGCUCAUACAUUUAAUGCAUUUGUGAAGCUUCUCUAAGUUUCCAUUAGCAUAACAUUGUUUCCUUCUUUGUUCCUAUGGCAGUUAAAAAAAGUGCUUUCUGUAACAUUUAACACUUUCAUUAACAUUUUCUGUUUAGUAAUCUGCCUUUUGCUCUAGAGAAUGUGCUUUUAGGUGCCAGGACUGUAUAAUCAUUCAUUUAUUUACUCAUAAUUCAUUCAAUAAAAUUCUAUUGACAUACUAGAAGUUAGGUACUGUUGUGUGAUACCACACUAAUGAAGAAACAAACAAGGACCAUAUUUUUAUGCUGAUUUUUUUCUUUCAUUCUUUUUCUUUAUUCUUUCUUUCUUUUUUUUUUUUUUUUUUGAGAGGAGUAGCCUGCAGCUAGGUGGACAAAUAAGUUAAUCAUAGAAAAUAAGACAAUAAUGUCAUAAAAAGAGAGUUCAGGUUUGGUCUAAGUUAAAAAAAAUGUUCAGGAAAAGCAUAUCUGAGCAUGUAAUCCUUAAAGUGGGCACUGAAUGAUGAACUAUGUUAGCACCGUGAAGAUCUAGAAGAGAGUUCCAAACAGAAGAGAUGCUCAGAACAGCAGCAAUGAGCUUGAUGGUUUGAGGAAUUGAGAGAAGGUCUGUUGUGGCUAGAAUCCAUGCAGAAGAAUAGAGGAGGAUAGUCAGAAAUAACAUGAGAGAGGCAAUCAAGAACCACAUCCUAUUAAUAGAGGUGCUUCGAUAAAUAUUUUUUAAUAAAUAGUAAUUGAAAUUGAUUUAUUGUUUCAAUGGUGUAAUGAAGGGCAAUGGAUGAAAAGGAAAUGAAUUAAUAGAUUUAGAUCCGUAAUCUUUAAAUAUUUCAACCCAAUAAUGGCCAAAGCACUAUCAUAUGUAUGUAGUAAAGUAUAGUAUAGCAUUGUAUCCAUAUCACAGACAGUGUACUUUUUACACCAUAAAUAUAGAAAAUAUGUUUGAAGCUAUAAAAAAAAAUGUGACUGAAGCUAUGACUGUAGGAAGUCUUGCACACUCUCUUUUUUGUGACUCUAAAAUAAUUUGUAAAGGAGGAAACAAAACAGACUCUGAUGUCAAAGGGAAAGAUAUAUUAAAAAUGUGGAAACAAAUUGGGUAACUUGUGAAUGCAAAUCUUUCUAUGGACAUAUUCAAAAUAUAUAAAACUAUAAUCUCAAAAAAGAUAGGAACUAUUCCUGUUUAUCAGUCUUUGUAUAAUAUUUAGUUAAUAUCUUUUACAUAGAUGUUUAAUUAAAUAAAAAUAUAUAUCCAAAUUUGUAUUUUAAAAGUUCACUUUUGUUUCCUUAUACAAUUAAAAUAAUUUUUGAAAACCUCAGAGAUUAAAGUACAACUUUUUUUUUAUUUGUCUCUUCAUAGCAAUUUUAAGUAACGUCUACUUUUAAUAAAAUGUUUUUGGAGCAAUUCCAAAAUAAUUUUGUACAUUAAUUUUCUUCUUUUAUAGAAGUAAUCAUUGAGCAUGGCCUAUCCUAAUUAGCAAGCAAAACAAUUGUAAAAUAAUAAUUGAGACAAAGUAAAAUUUGGUAUUACAGAAUUGUUUUUUCUCCUGAGGAAUCAGGCAGAUGGUUGAGAUCACUGUGGUUCUUGAUGAGUGGGAAGUAAGAACAUCUCCACAUUGUACCAUGAUCAAGUGUUAGCUAACAAAUACAUUUUUAGUGUAAAAUUGAUGGAACCCACUAUUUCACUUUUAUAGUGCAGUGUUUAGGCUCAAGUAAUCCUUAUUUUGGAUUCUCUAAUCAUGCCUGAUACAUAUCAUAGGUCAGGGAUUCCCUGUAAUAUUUCAUUAGUCUUGUCAACCAGAUUUAUUCGUAAAUGAGAAUAAAUGAGCAUGUCAGCGUAAGUUAUUGUGGUAAUUUGUGAAACUGUUAAUGAGAUAUUUUCUGAGCUCAUAAAUGUUGAGCUAUGUCAUAAAAUUACUGCACAAUAAUUCUAUUUUGAUACAGUAAGUGAGCUGAUAUUUUAUCAAAAAUGACACCCUGAUGCAUCAAUGAACUGAAGAUGAACAAUUAAAUGUUCCAAUGAAAGAGAUCUGAUGUUAUUCAGUAGUUAAUACUCACAAAGGAAUGUGGAGUUUAAAAAAAAGUGAUUAUUUUGAAUUAAUUGGAUAUGUUUUUUAACUUUUUAGAAUGUAGUUAGGAAACAAAUCAAUAAUAAGAAUUGCCUAAAUUUAUUUGAAAAAAGAUACACUCAAAUAUUUUACAGUGUAACAGGUAUGUGCUGUUCUUGAAUAUAGACCCAAACAUUUUCAUAGGAUGCUCAAGGGAUUAAUAAGUCUUACAGUAAGUCUACAGGGACAAUCAUGCGUGUUAAAUUAGGGCUCUGUUGUGCUAUAAGGAAAGAAGGAAAAGGACAUAGACCCAAGAGAAAGAAGAAUGUGUGCGUUUAUCUCAAUUUGAGCAGUGUUUAAACUGUAUAAGCACAUUAACAGGCAGGGGAUGGGGUGAGGUGGUGAUAUUAGUAGUUACCACAGGGCAUUCUCUUCAGAAGAAGGGAAGAUUGACUAUUGAAGUGGAAGACCUCUGCAUCUGAGUGGGGAAGAGGGAGCACCUGAAGUUUACUAGACAAAGACACUGGAGAUAGAGUGUGUAAAAAAACCAGUUCAUUCAGUGUAUAUUCUUCAAUCCUUUAAUGUCAUCACUAUGGUAUCCAGAGAUCCACUACAAUUUUGUAAUGCCUUUGGGAGCGUUAGAAACCAAAUUACCAAGGUUUGUACAAGAAAAUGUUUACUGGGUGCUCACUGGCUAGAGGGCCUCAAGGAAGAAGCUGAAGAUGCAUUUAGCUAUAAUAGAUUCUCUGUGCUCUAGAUCCUAUAACAUAAAUAAGGAUAUAGGGGACUCACAUGAGUUAUGUGAGUUACUAAAUGAGUGCAUUAAAAGUUACUAAAUUACAGAGUUCCUAUUGUGGCACAGUGGAAACGAAUCCGACUAGGAGCCAUGAGGUUGUGGGUUCGAUCCCUAGCCUCGCUCAAUGGGUUAAGGAUCCGGCUUUGAUGUGAGCUGUGGUGUAGGUCGCAGAUGUGGCUGGGAUAUGGCGUGGCUGUGGCUUGGGAUAGGCCAGCACCUAUAGCUCCAAUUAGACCCUUAGCCUGGGAACCUCCAUAUGCCGCGAGUUCGGCCCUAAAAAGACAAAAAA